rnacentral:misc_RNA from 1 species
UGGAAUUCGUUCUCAAGGUGUUGAAGGAUGGGCUUUCAUUUGUGCAUGUGCCUUAUGCUUAUGGUUUUGCAAUUAUUUUGCUCACUGUUAUUGUGAAAGUUGCUACGUUACCUUUGACCAAGAAACAAGUGGAAUCUACAUUGGCUAUGCAAAACCUUCAACCUAAGAUAAAAGCUAUUCAACAAAGAUAUGCAGGCAAUCAGGAGAGAAUACAACUUGAGACAUCACGUCUCUAUAGGCAAGCUGGGGUUAAUCCAUUAGCAGGUUGUUUUCCAACUUUGGCUACAAUACCGGUCUGGAUUGGUCUAUAUCAAGCUCUUUCAAAUGUCGCCAAUGAGGGACUGUUGACAGAAGGUUUUUUUUGGAUUCCAUCAUUGGGUGGGCCAACUACAAUUGCGGCUCGACAAAGUGGAUCUGGCAUUUCAUGGCUUUUUCCAUUUGUGGAUGGCCAACCACCAUUGGGCUGGCAUGACACUGCAGCUUACCUGGUUUUACCUGUCCUCCUUGUUGUUUCUCAAUAUGUGUCAAUGGAGAUCAUGAAACCUCC